rnacentral:rRNA from 1 species
ACGUACGCUGGCGGCACGCCUAACACAUGCAAGUCGAACGAAGUAGCAAUACUUAGUGGCAGACGGGUGAGUAACAUGUAGGUAUCUACCCUUUGGCCUGGAAUAACACGAGGAAACUUGUGCUAAUACCGGAUAAGUCUUUACAGAGAAAGCUUUAUGCACCAUUGGAUGAGCCUGCACUAGAUUAGUUUGUUGGUAGGGUAAUGGCCUACCAAGGCGACGAUCAGUAGCUGGUCUGAGAGGAUGAUCAGCCACACUGGGACUGAGACACGGCCCAGACUCCUACGGGAGGCAGCAGUGGGGAAUAUUGG